rnacentral:lncRNA from 1 species
AUUUCAGGCAGUCGUGGUUUUGCGUAGUACAAGAGAAAUAAGGAAAUGACUCGUGGCAACCAAAAGAACAGGCAGCACAAGGUGGUAAUCGGAUUUUCUAACCCAAGAGAGGAGACUAAGGACACUUUGAUGCAAAGGUCUUAGCCCAGCCCAGCCCCUUAGGGAUACAGGAGAUCUGAGAGCAAGAUCUGAGAGCAAAUAAAGCAAGUUUAUUUGAGAACAAUUUCAAAAGUGAAGGUGUUCCUUGUCACCCUAUAUUGAAAUUCUGGAUUGUUCCAGUCAAUGAGAGUAGAAGUGUUUUCAUUUCUCUCACCUUCUUUUAUUUGCUGGGGGAUAAAUGUUGUGGCUUGAAGGCAGAGCAAGGAAUUUGUGUUCUAUACUGGAACUCUAAGUGAAUCAUCUCACCUGUGAACUAUUGUGAAAAAAGCCUAUGACUUCAAACUUGUGCAAGAUGGUGCCAUAGAGGAUAAAAACAAGAUGGAGGCAGGAUGGGAUGGCUCACGCCUGUAAUCCCGGUAGUUUGGGAGGCCGAAGCGGGUGGAUCACCUGAGGUCAGGAGUUCGAGACCAGCUUGGCCAACAUGAAACCCCGUCUCUAUUAAAAAUACAAAAUUAGCCGGGCAUGGUGGCGUGCACCUGUAGUCUCAGCUACUCGGGAAGCUGAGGCAGGAGAAUCUCUUGAACUUGGGAGGCGGAGGUUGCAGUGAGCCAAGAUUGUACCACUGCACUCCAGCCUGGGUGACAGAGCGAGACUGUCAAAAAAAGAAAAAAAAAAAGAGAUAGAAAAUAUUAUCAUUUGUGCUUCUGUGAUAUUUUCCCUUUUUGGAUAAAUGAUGAUUGAUUUAUUCUAAACUCCUCUGGGGAUUGGCAAACUUCAUGUUAACUUCUAUAUCCUAACACCUGAUGUGUCACCAGACUCUUGCCUCACCGUCAGGGUGUUCCAUUCCAUCCCACUCAGCCGCACCAGCACGAGUGAUUUUACCGUGAAGUAGGAAAGAGAAUUAAUGAGAAAGCACUUCCAGAAUUCUGCUGGGGAAAGUAAGAGAUUAUAACAUUUUAAGGGAUCAUCCCAGUUUCAAAUAUUCACCCCAAAACUGAUCCCAUAAGCCUUUACAAUAUCACAACAGCGGUGGGCAGAUUGCCUAAGCUCAGGAGUUCG